rnacentral:rRNA from 1 species
GAUGAACGCUGGCGGCGUGCCUAAUACAUGCAAGUCGAGCGAAGCGGGGACGGGUGAGUAAAACGUGGAUAACCUCCUAUAAGACUGGGAUAAAUUCGGGAAACCGGAGCUAAACCGGAUAAUUAUCGAUGGAUCCGCGGUGCAUUAGCUAGUGGGUAAGGUAACGGCUUACCAAGGCAACGAUGCAUAGCCGACCUGAUAGGGUGAUCGGCCACACUGGAACUUAGACACGGUCCAGACUCGUCCGGGAGGCAGCAGUAGUGAAUCUUCCGCAAUGGGCGAAAGCCUGACGGAGCAACGCCGCGUGAGUGAUGAAGGUCUUCGGAUCGUAAAACUCUUUUAUUAGGGAAGCGGUACUUAAUCAGAAAGCCACGGCUAACUACGUGCCAGCCGCCGCGGUAAUAC